rnacentral:rRNA from 1 species
GACGAACGCUGGCGGCGUGCUUAACACAUGCAAGUCGGACGGAAAGGCCCUGCUUGCAGGGUACUCGAGUGGCGAACGGGUGAGUAACACGUGGGUGAUCUGCCCCGCACUUCGGGGUAAGCCUGGGAAACUGGGUCUAAUACCGGAUAGGACCAUGAUUCGGUUCAUGGUGGAAAGUUUUUUCGGUGUGGGAUGAGCUCGCGGCCUAUCAGCUUGUUGGUGGGGUAAUGGCCUACCAAGGCGUCGACGGGUAGCCGGCCUGAGAGGGUGGACGGCCACAUUGGGACUGAGAUACGGCCCAGACUCCUACGGGAGGCAGCAGUGGGGAAUAUUGCACAAUGGGCGGAAGCCUGAUGCAGCGACGCCGCGUGGGGGAUGAAGGCCUUCGGGUUGUAAACUCCUUUCGCCAGGGACGAAGCCCUUUGGGGUGACGGUACCUGGAUAAGAAGCACCGGCUAACUACGUGCCAGCCGCCGCAGUAA